rnacentral:rRNA from 1 species
GACGAACGCUGGCGGCGUGCUUAACACAUGCAAGUCGAACGGAAAGGCCCUGCUUGCAGGGUACUCGAGUGGCGAACGGGUGAGUAACACGUGGGUGAUCUGCCCUGCACUUCGGGAUAAGCCUGGGAAACUGGGUCUAAUACCGGAUAGGAGCCAUUUUUAGUGUGAUGGUUGGAAAGUUUUUUCGGUGUAGGAUGAGCUCGCGGCCUAUCAGCUUGUUGGCGGGGUAAUGGCCUACCAAGGCGGCGACGGGUAGCCGGCCUGAGAGGGUGGACGGCCACAUUGGGACUGAGAUACGGCCCAGACUCCUACGGGAGGCAGCAGUGGGGAAUAUUGCACAAUGGGCGCAAGCCUGAUGCAGCGACGCCGCGUGGGGGAUGACGGCCUUCGGGUUGUAAACUCCUUUCGCUAGGGACGAAGCUUUUUGUGACGGUACCUAGAUAAGAAGCACCGGCUAACUACGUG